rnacentral:lncRNA from 12 species
AUCCUGAAUCCACAUGUACCACAUAUGCCUUCAGAAAUAUGGAAAUCCUGGGGCUGCACUUGUAGGCGAAGAUCACUUUCUUCCCUUCCGCAUUCCGGACCUGUGCCCAGAGGGCUUCGAUCACUGGAAAGGGACCUAGAAGGAGGAUUCUUGGACAGCGUGGGGCACCUCGAUCCUACCAAAGCAUAUCAGAACCACAAAGGUUGGAGGAGGAUUAAAAUGAUACAAGUUUCCCCACAUCCCAUUGUCACCCCAGCCCUGCCGGUUUGUGAGACUAUCAGCUGGAUGAGCAACUGCUACUUAUACACCUUUGCUGUCAACAUGUAGGGCUGGGAACAACAUAGAGACCCACAGUCAAGGUGAAAG